ensembl:lncRNA
GCUGUAUCAUUUUUCCACACUGAGGAAAAAUCAUCAGUCUUUCCUGGGGUCUUUCAAAGAAAAGGAGCCAUGAGGGACCCCAGAGGCAGCCUGGACAACUUGCUGGGCAGGUCACCAGCUGGGGUGCCUAGGGGGGGGGUGCCCUGCUGAAGGGGGUGCUCUCCAGGGAGGGGUGCCCUCGGGGGUGGGGGGGGCACCCAGCCCAGGAGAGUUUACCAAUCCCUCCUCUAACGAUCCACAGCAUCCUGGUGAGCUGCUCGGCUCCUGGCCCAAGUGGAGCGAAGAUUUAUGUUACCUGCCUGAUAAUAUCUGUCCAAAAUCACAGUGUUUGACCCGCCCUUUUUUUGUGACUCCUCAAACCAAGCUGCAGAUGAACAAGACGCCUCUGUGGAUCUGCAGACAGUUUGCUACAUGUGUUCUGAUCUCAUCUGCCUGCAGAAUCUGGGGCCUCUUCCCGCAGACGACCCCCCCACACUUCCCCAGACCAGGCACCGGCCUCCUCCAGGCCCACGGCACACGCUCCUGCGCCAGAACAGUCUCCGCUGGAAAGGGGCUGCAGAAGUCAGUCUCCACUGGUAAAAGGCUGCAAAAGUCAGUCUCCACUGGAAAGGGGCUGCAAAAGUCUGAAAAGAGCAGCAGCACGGCAAUGACUUGGUUUCUAUCACAUGCACAACACGACACCAACCCUUCAGUUAGUCCCGUUCUGUGAUUCUCUAAACUUGGGCUGUUAGGCUCCAAAGUCAGACUAGACUAUGGUGACUCACAAGUGUCCUUUUGUCUCUUGAAGGGAAGAACGCCACCCGCCCAAAGGUGGAAGAGUCCCCCCAGUGAAGGCGCAUGCGAGCUCAGGAAAGACAGCAGUCCCGGGCUGGGCACCACAGCACCUGCCUCAGACGGCGCCCCGCAGGGCAGUCACCCCGGGAAAAGGAGCUGGGGUUUCUGGAACACUUCAUCUUUUCAUCUUCCUCUUAAUCCAUGGCAAGAACUUCCAGGACCUCUGCAGAGUUACAAAGAAGGCGGGAGCAGAGAAUAGCUUUGCAAUGACAGAGCUGUGUGACUCAGCUUCACCUGGUAGGAAAAAUAGUUCACUUUUGUCCCUGAUGCUGUCAACCCUGCCGUGGACAGCAAACCUGACAGUGAGGUGGGGAAAUACAGUCCCCGGGCCCUAAAACGCAAACCUGGUGGCGCUACCUCAGCACGCUUUUAGGGACCUCUCUCCAUCGAGUUAACACGUCUGCAACAUGACUCGCAGCCUCACGAUCCCAAGCUAUUUCUUUCUAUCUGCUCGUUUAUUUCUUUAAUGCUGCACCAGUGGCCUAUGGAAGUUCCAGGACCAGGAACCAAACCUGAGCUGCAGCUGCAGUAAGGCCAGAUCCCUUCACCCACUGCCUCAGGCCAGGGAUCUGCCUGCACUUCCACAGCAACCCGAGCCGUCGCAGUCAGAUUCUUAACCCACUGUGCCCCGGCUAUUUCCUGUGCCUUUUGCAACAAGAGCCUUACAUUUAAUGAACAUUCUCAACAAUGGGAAACUGGCUCUCAGUUUUUUAAGACUUUCCAGCUCUUGCUUAAUACUUUUAAUCUUAAAAUACAACUGAUCUUUUUAAGGCUAUAUGUGUGUUAUUAUCACCCAGAUACUUCUAGUAAGGAAAUGACUCUUCCAGAAUUACACAUGAGAGGCUUCUGAAAAGGCACUCACUCUCUAGACUCGCCUGGGACAGCUCACUUGCAGGGCACAGGGAAUUUCCGCCCAGCACAUGAGUCAUCAGCCAAGGUUACUCCCUGGCCACCCGCCUCCUCCCUAGGGAGCCACUUCCUUCGCCCGGCUGAGUGUUUAGACGGGGAAAACCCAGAAGAACACAGGUUCUUCUGCAGCAAGAACCUCCAGGAAGCUCAGGAAUUCCAGAAUUUCAUUUCUGACACAGUGGAAGGGAAAGUCAUCCCCCCCCACCUUUAUUAAAGAUCAAGCAAUCACCAAGAAAUGUCACCUUCCAGGUGACAUGGGUUGAGAAGUAAGCUUGAGGAGGAUUACUCAUGCCUUGGGGUAAAUACUCAUAAACCACCUGCUCUGCGCCCCUGCCGGCCCUCAUUCAGGCUGUGGGGCAGCGUGCAGGUGAACCUCUCCACGGGCAACGCUGGACAGCCAGCCUCCUCGGCCUCCGACCCCGGUGGUUGCUCGCUGUCACAGAGCUGACCGGCCUGCAAGGCUUGUGUCUACGUCUCAUGUCCUUUAUCCCCUGACUUCUUUGCUCUAGAGCCUGUUACCAGAGCUCCUAAAAGUCAGACGUUCAAGAUCAAGGAGAAAUUCUAUCCCUGGGCUGUCGGGCAGCCUGCACCUUGUGUAAUCGCUGCACUUUCUUCUCCCUGUUCUCAAGCUGUAUAAAUCCCUCAUGGACGUGUAGGAGCUUCUGACUUGGAAUUAGCUUUAAAUCAUACUGAAAAUAAGAGCAAGUGGCCACUGGGUGAGAACACGAAGGACCGAAAGAGGGAAGAAGUGCAUUAACAUCUGAGGAGCCACAACCCCCGCCUGAUCUGCAUCCCUCGUGUGCCUAUGUCUGUAGCUGACCCAACACACGAGGUUUUAUUUCCACAGUAAACACUCUGAUACCCGCAAUCGGCUACUGGCCGAGGCCGAGGACACCAGGGGCUGCCUGAAAAGUCCCACUCAGCUCUUCCACCACACAGGGGUCAGCGCCCCAAAGCCCUUCGUUGAUCAAAGAAGGGAAAUCAGGCUCUAAAAGGGAGAGACCCUUUAUGGAUUUUAGUAUGUCCUCCUUAAACCCUAACCCUAACCCUAACCCUGUGCAAAGCAUCCAGGUCUGGGCUUGGGAAAUUGCAAUCAACAAAUCAACACUACAUUCAAUUAUCUUCCAUGUGUGGACAGCGACGUUUGCGUAAUUGCCUUCCUGGUGGAGAAGAACGUGACAUAAUGAUUAUGAACUGCAAUUACAUCUACUUGACAGUCAAACAAGGCCUGUGAAACAUACACGACCUAGCAUUAAAUUUUCAUUCCACAUCUACAGGUUUGUACAAAGCCUGCACGCAUUUUUAAAUUAAACCCUAAAUAGUGAAGAUGUAGUUCAAAGAAAUUAUUGUUAUACAUCAAAAACUGAUGUUCGAUUGGGCUUGGGAGUUUUUCCUUUAGUCCAGACAAGAUCAUUCUUUUAAAAGAAAAAAAAAAAAAAAGACACCUAUUAUGUCAGACAAAACCACCCAAAAUACCUGACACAAUUUCCCUGCCUCUACUGCACCCCACGCUCUGAGGCUGAAAUAAGAGGGUGACGGGAACUGCCUUUCCAUCAGCAGUGACGGACAGUGGUAUUCAAGGGACAAGAAGGUAGGAAACCUCUACUUUCCCUGUUAGACGUGCACUCCCCGAGGCCAUGUGUGGAAGUGAAAGGCAGGAAAGACAAGAAAACUGUGCUUCAACCAAACAGGCCCGAGAACUCCUGUCCUGAUUCAACUUGCUCUUUCUUUUAGCUUAUUCGAUUGAAGUUGAUUUACAACGUCGUGUGAAUUUCUGCUGCAUGGCAAAGUGGCUCAGUGAUUCACACGCAUCUGCAUUCUUUUUCACACUCUCCCCGUUACGGUUCAUCACAGGAUCUUGAGCCCGGGUGCCCGUGCUCCACAGCAAGGCCCUGGUUCCCCCUCCUGCACACUGGUUUACCUCUGCUGACCCAAACUCUGCAGAGAGAUCAGCUUUGUUUCUUCUAGGAGAGCAGUUGGGAUUCACACUCCUGGACAAGCAGAGAAGUGCCUCAGUCCUUGGGGGCACCGCUCAGUGCCCUGCACUGGCCCACAGCGCUGCCACCCGUCUGCUGCGUCCCUGGCCACCCAGGCCCAGCACGGCCACGAGCUCCCCUCCUGUGCUCACGACAAGCUCCCGAUGGGCCAGGCCUCGGCUGGGUGCUGGCGCCGCUGGCCCCCAACGGCCCCCUCACUGAGUAAGCACCGUGUGCCCGAUGGUAAAACACUUUAGGGGGCUCUCACGGGAAGAGAACUUUUCCUGUAAGUGCAGGUUUAGUAAAAUAUCUAUUUUUUGGUCAUUACAUUUCCUCGCCCACACCUGGUUUUUCAAUCUUGAAUGCACACCCGACGCCCCCACAACCCUCCUGCUGUCCAGAGAAGCCCACACGGUUCCAACCCCAUCAGCACCUACGGGUCCAACGAAAUGACGGGCCAAAGUGAAACAAAGCCUGGACCUUAAUGACUUCCCCAGAGGAGAAGAGGAGGGAACGGGGGAGAAUCUGCGAAAAGCACGAAAGGGUAGAAACUCGAGGAGGCCACGGGACCGGCCUGACGAGCCCCGUCCUUCGGGCUUCCGGGGCCAGGUUUCCGAAUUUCUCUUCUGUCUGAAACAUAACCUCAGCUGUUCUUUCUAUUUGUCUGAGUGAUGGGGGCGGGGAGGCCGUGCCACGUGGAGGAGCCCUGGUCCGAGCCUGGCUCUGCAGCUCCGGAGGGUACCUCCUCCUGCCUGGUCCCCCACGUCCCCGCCGCCCGCCGUGUCUCCUGCAGGCUGACCCGACGUGCAGGGCCCCGCAGGGUACGGUCCACAGAGGGGCGAGAGGCACCUCCUGGCCGCAGCAAGGCUCCUAAGGCUGGUAUGCAAAGCCCGUUUUCAGGUUCAGAGCACAGCAUGAUGCCACAAGUCAGUGUCUGAUGAUUUCCAAAGAACCGGGAAGGAAAGAGGCAACUGGGAAAUCAGAACCAGUGCCCCCACCUCCUGGUGAAAUCCGAUCGUGAGAAGACCGAACAAGGCUGUCGGCUGCCUACCAACUGCCACUCCAACGACACAAGCGUGCACUCAGAAACUCACGCACACUUGGCGUGAGAAGGGGCAGUGAGGAGAGAGCGCGAGUAAAUGACAGACACUCAAGGAUCUGUAACUCAUUUCCAGGGCCAGGAUCGGAAACGAAGGGGCGCGGGGCCCCUUUUCCACUGGUUCACCCUCUCGUGGCCACGAAUUACUUCAGUGUUAGGUGGGGGCCAGAAGUCUGGCCUCUUUCUCACAAGAGAACCAACCCCCCCCCACGGCUUUGAAGACUCCUCCUAACUUAAAAUGAGCUCUCCCUCCCCGCCAAGCAGCCGGGCUGGGGCCCAGAUCUAGAAUGAGCGCCCCUCCUCCCUGCCCAGCACCCCACGUCCAUUAGCCCAGGUUCCUGAAGCCUAGAUUUCUUGCUUCUCACUUAUCGGUCCAGCGGCAGCCCCUCCCCCGGUUCAGGGGUUUCCUCCCUCCUCCGGGGGCCUGCAAUGCCCAGAGGCUGAGCUUGGAGGCCCACAGCCCAGGGCAGCUGGAUCCCCGCCCGUCCAGCCCAGAACGACCGGCUGCCCCACGCAGCAUUUGGGGCCGUCAGCCCCAGCUCUGCAGGACAGCACCGUGCCCAUGUGGAGGCCGGGGUGCCCGAGGCUGCCCCGGACCCGCAUCUGGGUGCCGCACAGGUCGUCAUGGUAGGAGCUGCCUGGCGGCANNNNNNNNNNNNNNNNGGCCCGCCGUUUUCAGCCCCUUGGCUGCGUCCGUUCAUUGUGCUUCCAAACAUCCACAGUGCCGUUUGGCACAGAGGCGUGAGAAGGGACACGGUGACUUUAACGUAUGACAGCCUCGGGGCCCUCGCCCCGGGGAGAAGCGGGCCUCACACUGCGGCUCUGUGAUGAGGCCUCUGCCUCCUCAGAGCAAAGAGCUCACGGGGCACAGCCCGACAGAGAACCUCGGCCCUCCCUCCACGGUUUAGCGUCUUCGUCGACGUGGGGGGACUGUCCCGACAGAGGCGCAGCGCGAGUGGCAGGGCCGUCCACCCGCGAUGCCGCUCUCCUCCCGUGCGGGGGCCGCUGUGCAGAGGCCCCACAGCCUCCGCCGGCCUGGGACCUGAAAGCUAAACCGCAACACGUUCUGAGCAGAAAAGGUAGAAUCCCAUCCACGCAAGAGACCCACAGGUCCAUCACCAAGCGGCCUGUUCAACGUUGUGAAUGAAGCCCGCCAGAUUCAGGCUGUGAUUCAGGGUGGGGCGAGUCGUCUUUCAACUCCAAAAGCACAGGUGGAAGCGGUGGAGAGCAGCCUGCAGCUACCAGGCUGUAGUCUGCAUCUGGCUGGAACAGCACAAAGACUGUCUCCCAACAUUUCAUUCACGGUAAGGUCACUCUGAAAGACGGGCCUGCAGAAGUACAGUACGGUAGAUGGGGCCAGUCAACCAAAACCACGAUAAUCUGCUGGGCCCCCAGCCCACGCCGACCAAAGCCCGCAGAGAAUCCCCAAGCUCACGUGGGUCCGCGGCUGGUAACCAGCAGAGCUAGGACUGGACCAGGCCACGCUCAGCCUCAAAGCCCAGGCUCCUUCUCCAGGCCACACAGCAUUCUGAGCUCCCAAAGCUACUCGUCCAGCAUUCAGAGGGAACGGCACUGCUACACUGGGGACAAGCCCCAUGACCUCUAACCGGUGCGGUCUAUCUUACAGCCAGCCUCCUGCCCACAACCUUCUGAGAUGAGGCAAAGUAACGAGAAAGCCCCGGGGGGCCGAGCUCGUGCUGGAGGAAGGCUCCGGGAUCUCGGGUUCUCGAAACAGUCUGGUAUCCCACUAACAAACAUGGAUGGAAAAGAUCCUAAGGAAAGGUCCAUGUAACACAUGUGUGCCUCAUUCCACUUUUCUUUUAGAAUAUACAUUACAGUGAAAUAAGAUCCCAUGACGUUCAGCGACAAUUCUGUGAUCAGGAGCAAUACAGCUGCUCACUUGCAAAGGUAAGAACACUCAGGAGAGAAGUAAAUUGGAAUGAAGUUCUUUUGGGGAUGCAAGGGUCCCUGCAGGUCCUGCCCUCGAUCCCCGGGUGCCCAGCUCAGCCUGCAUCCUGGGGCCACCAGCACUCAGCACAUGCAACCUGAGCCCCAGUAGUGCUGGACACCUGGCCUCCUGUGAACCAGGUCAGCUUCCACCCUGACAUCCGCCAGGUCAGGAACAUGCCUGGGGUCCCUGCGAAAGCACUGUUUUCUCAUAAGGAUGACGUCACGGAUAAGAAAUCUCACGCACUCUGAUUAUUCACGCACUCACGCAGCUAGUUCUGCAGCAGGGAGUCACGCAGCACUGCUCCAGGCAGAGCCGCUUCACACUGGCCACGCUGGUAGGUGCAGAGUAGCACAAAGGGCAGGAGUAAAUGCACUCAGUGGAAGCUGACCUGGUUGCUAGGGGGACCCC